rnacentral:sRNA from 1 species
UCGAAUACGGGCCGUUCCCUCCUCCUCCCUGGAACGGCGCGCAUCAGACCGGCGGGGUCCUCCUCCUCCCUGACCCCGCCGGUCGCACAGGAUACGGAUGCCCCUCCUCCCAUACAGGCAUCCGUUG